GGAACUCGGAAGUAGUUACGAUAUUAUCUAAGAGAACAAACCCAUCUCCUUCUCCUAUACGAUCUGUUCCAAUCUUUCUAUUAGCUCCACCGUGAAGACGAUGGCCUCUCGCGUACGAGCCCCACGGCCGCCGCCUGUGCCGUCUGGGCUCAGCGCCGCCGGCGACGCUUGGGCUGCGCACCUACUGCCCACGCCAUUGCCGCCUGCGCCGUCCAGGGUCAACGCCGCCUGUGCCGCCUAGCACCCACCGUCCACCCAUCGCCGCCUGUGCCUUCCAGGCUGAGCGCCGCCAGAGCUGCGUGCCCCCCGUGUCAUCAGCCAGCCACACGCCCAUCGUUUGCCCCACAGCAGCAGCAUCGACACGCCGCAGAUUCAUCAGUGAUUUUCUUCCUGGUGACUGGCAUGUAACUUUGCAUAUUUGUGCAACUGUAAUUUGGCCAUCAUAGAGGAUAUUUACAACAGCUAGCAGCUAAGGGAAACAUCAGUAUAAUUUGCAGAACUUGUAAUUGAGUACUGGAUAAAUGAAUAGGGACUGGAUUAAUAAGCCCAGAACAACUGCUGCAUAUAAAACAGGAGUAUCUCAAUUCCUAGAAUUUGCAUUCUCUAAUGUACCUCAAUAUGCAAGGGUUAUAUUGUUACUUAUGCACCUGUAACAUUCUAAUCUGUUUUUUAAAUAUAGUGCAAAUGGCAGCAAGGUCCCAAAGACUGCAAGGCUUGGAUUUUUCAGAGAAUGGAGUACAGAAUCAAGAAAUGGUCCCAAAUGAUCACUAUGUUGAAGAAUAGAACAUAACAAAUGCAGAAUGGCGUUCAAACUGCUAUGAGUAUCAUCCUGAUGGCCGCAUUAAAAGACGUCGAGGACCAACUAAACUGGCAAAUGUUGAAAAUCUUCUGAAGGUGUUAAGAUUAUUGUCAAAUUGGAUCGUUUCAAUGCACCUUGCUCACAAUCUUCUGUAGUUCUUGGAUCCUAUUUAGGAACACUUGUCAGGAAGCCACAUCUAGCUCCACUGAACAUUCUUAAAUGGAAUGAUAAACUUUAUAAGAGAAUAUAUCAUCCAAAAUUGAUUUCUGAAGUACAGAGAAAGUUUGCAAUUCAUGGAAGAGCUAAGGAUUGGCUUCUCCACCAGUUAGAUGGAAAAUGGAGGCAAUACAAGUCAAAUCUGAAGAAAAAGUAUUACAAGGCUAACUUACCCAUGGAACGAGUAUUGCAAACGGUACCCCAAACUGUUAAUGAAUCUCAAUGGCCUACACUAGUUUCUUACUGGUACUCAGAGGACUCUAAGAAAAUCAGUGAUCAAAACCAAGAGAAUGCACAAAAUAUUAAGCAUCCACACACAUUAGGAAGAAAGAGCUUUGCAAGAAAGAGGAAAGAGCUGGAACAUGAUGGAGUGGAGGUGGACAGAGCAACCUUCUUUGAUGAAUGCCAUAAGACAAAAGAUGGCAGAUAUGUUAAUGAUGCUACACAAGACAAAAUGAAUGAGGUAUAUAUGAAAUUGGCUGAGAAAAGAGUAGAUGGCCAAGAACUCAGUGAAGCUGAUUUUGAACAAGCUAUGUUAGAAGUGUUUGGAAAGGAUCAUAAUGGUAGAGUUAGAGGCAUGGGUCCAACCAUUACUCCAACAGACUAUUAUGGUGGAAGAUUUUCGAAUAUGUGAGGAAGAAGUGAACAAGGGAGUAGCUCCAGUAAUGUAAAUGGCUUCAUUAGUUUUAUGGUAUCAUAUCUUGCUGAGAAAUAUCCAGAAGAUAAUUUGAUGUCUAGGCUGCCACCUUCACUUGCUAGGCUCAUUCCAAGACAAGAGGUUGAUCAGAACCAAGGAAGUUAGUCAUCAAAUAAUCCUCCAUUCUAUCCUCUCUUCAGUUUGAUCCGAAUUUAACCAAGGAAGCCAGCCACCAAAUACUGCUCCAUCGUCUAGUACUACAGCAUCAUCUCAGACUUGAAGUGAAGAUGACUGAUUUACAAUGGCAACUGCAUCAUUUCGCACUACUUGUUGCAUUAGAAUUAGCACUUGCUGCUGCCGGAAACAUAUUUAAGUUUUCUCGUCAGGAACAAUGUAUGGAUAUUGCUUUUUCUUUAAUGCUAAGCUACUGGUGUUGAAAAUAUUAUCAAUGUGGUAUGAUAGUAACUCAGUCUGGUGAUAUUAUUGUGUUUAUGGA